GUGACUCGUUGUGUGUGUAUGAUUUGAAUAUAUGUAUGUGUGUAUUGAUUGUUUGAGUUGGAGAGAGAUGGGAAUUUGUUUUUGGUUCUCUUAGAUUUGUAUCUGUUAGUGCAGCGCCUUUGGGGUAAAUUUCACCUUUGGUCCCUGUAGUUUGAUCAUUUUUUGUGUGUGAGUAAUUAUUUGGUGCUCUUAGAUUUGUAUCUGUCUAUGGCUAAUCUGUAUCUGUUAGUG
rnacentral:lncRNA from 1 species